rnacentral:tRNA from 1 species
CGGAGCUUAGUUCAGUUGGCUAGAAUGCGCGCUUUGGGAGCGCGAGGUCGCCAGUUCGAGUCUGGCAGCUCCGA